rnacentral:other from 1 species
UCAUCCCUGGGGUGUUGGCCAGCCGGAGAUGUCCCUGAGCCGAUACUCCUGUACCAGGAGGCUACGCGCUGAUACCAGUGUGCAUGUCCGCAUGACGGAAAGCCUGAGGUAUCGCCGUAAUCUCCGCCUUGAACUUUCGGGUUCAAGGGCUAACCCGGCAGCGGCACUCUGGGGACCCU